rnacentral:tRNA from 1 species
UGGUCCCUGGCUCAAUUGGCAGAGCGGCCGGCUGUUAACCGGCAGGGUCCGGGUUCGAGUCCCGGGGGACCAGCCA